AAUGGGAACUGGGAGACCUGAGUUCAGAAGAGGAGAGUGGAAUUCCAUGGCUAGCGGUGAAAUGCGUAGAUAUAUGGAGGAACACCCGUGGUGAAGGCGGCUCUUUGGUUUGUAACUGAUGUCGAGGCUUGAAAGCGUGGGGAGCAAACAGGAUUAGAUACCCUGGUAGUCCACGCCGUAAACGAUGAGUGCUAAGUGUUGGAGGGUUUCCGCCCUUCAGUGCUGCAGCAAACGCAUUAAGCACUCCGCCUGGGGAGUACGACCGCAAGGUUGAAAMUCAAAGGAAUUGACGGGGGCCCGCACAAGCGGUGGAGCAUGUGGUUUAAUUYGAAGCAACGCGAAGAACCUUACCAGGUCUUGACMUCCUUUGACCACUCUAGAGAUAGAGCUUUCCCUUCGGGGACAAAGUGACAGGUGGUGCAUGGUUGUCGUCAGCUCGUGUCGUGAGAUGUUGGGUUAAGUCCCGCAACGAGCGCAACCCUUAUUGUUAGUUGCCAUCAUUUAGUUGGGCACUCUAGCGAGACUGCCGGUGACAAACCGGAGGAAGGUGGGGAUGACGUCAAAUMAMCAYGCCCCUUAUGACCUGGGCUACACACGUGCUMCAAUGGGAAGUACAACGAGUCGCUAGACCGCGMGGUCAUGCAAAUCUCUUAAAGCUUCUCUCAGUUCGGAUUGCAGGCUGCAACUCGCCUGCAUGAAGCCGGAAUCGCUAGUAAUCGCGGAUCAGCACGCCGCGGUGAAUACGUUCCCGGGCCUUGUACACACCGCCCKUCACACCACGAGAGUUUGUAACACCCGAAGUCGGUGAGGUAACCUU
rnacentral:rRNA from 1 species